rnacentral:rRNA from 1 species
AACGAACGCUGGCGGCGUGGAUAAGACAUGCAAGUCGAGCGCUGAUUUGAAGGUAGCAAUAUUUUCAAGUCGGAGCGGCGCAAGGGUGCGUAACACGUGGGAAUCUGCCUUGAAGUGUGGGAUAACUCCGAGAAAUCGGAGCUAAUACCGCAUGUGAUCGUGAGAUCAAAGUUGGGGAUCGCAAGACCUGACGCUUCAAGAUGAGCCCGCGGCCUAUCAGCUAGUUGGUGAGGUAAUGGCUCACCAAGGCUAAGACGGGUAGCUGGUCUGAGAGGACGACCAGCCACACUGGAACUGAGACACGGUCCAGACACCUACGGGUGGCAGCAGUCGAGAAUUUUUCACAAUGGGCGAAAGCCUGAUGGAGCGACGCCGCGUGGGGGAUGAAUGGCUUCGGCCCGUAAACCCCUGUCAUUUGCGAACAAAUUGGUUCACCUAACACGUAAACCAUUGAUUGUAGCGGAAGAGGAAGGGACGGCUAACUCUGUGCCAGCCGCCGCCGUAAUAC